AUAUUGGCGAGAGACCGAUAGCGAACAAGUACCGUGAGGGAAAGAUGAAAAGCACUUUGGAAAGAGAGUUAAACAGUACGUGAAAUUGCUGAAAGGGAAACGCUUGAAGUCAGUCGCGUUUGCUAGGACUCAGCCUUGCCUCGGCUUGGUGCAUUUCCUAGUAGACGGGCCAGCAUCACUUUUGACUGCGGGAGAAAGGUUGGAGGAAUGUGGCACCCUCGGGUGUGUUAUAGCCUCUAGCUGUAUGCCGUGGUUGGGAGUGAGGAACUCAGCACGCCGCAAGGCGGGGCUUCGGCCACCUUCGUGCUUAGGAUGCUGGCGUAAUGGCUUUAAACGACCCGUCUUGAAACACGGACC
rnacentral:rRNA from 1 species